rnacentral:rRNA from 1 species
UGGGGAAUUUUGGACAAUGGGCGCAAGCCUGAUCCAGCCAUACCGCGUGGGUGAAGAAGGCCUUCGGGUUGUAAAGCCCUUUUGUUGGGAAAGAAAAGCAGUCGGCUAAUACCCGGUUGUUCUGACGGUACCCAAAGAAUAAGCACCGGCUAACUUCGUGC